CCUACGGGUGGCAGCAGUGGGGGAUAUUGCACAAUGGGGGAAACCCUGAUGCAGCGACGCCGCGUGGGUGAAGAAGUAUUUCGGUAUGUAAAGCCCUAUCAGCAGGGAAGAAAGAAGACGGUACCUGACUAAGAAGCCCCGGCUAACUACGUGCCAGCAGCCGCGGUAAUACGUAGGGGGCGAGCGUUAUCCGGAUUCACUGGGUGUAAAGGGAGCGUAGACGGCCGUGCAAGCCAGGAGUGAAAGCCCGGGGCCCAACCCCGGGACUGCUCUUGGAACUGUGCGGCUGGAGUGCGGGAGGGGCAGGCGGAAUUCGUGGUGUAGCGGUGAAAUGCGUAGAUAUCAGGAGGAACACCGGCGGCGAAGGCGGCCUGCUGGACCGCGACUGACGUUGAGGCUCGAAAGCGUGGGGAGCGAACAGGAUUAGAUACCCUAGUAGUC
rnacentral:rRNA from 1 species